rnacentral:rRNA from 1 species
GCACGGGUGAGUAACACGUGAACUAACCUACCCUGGAGUGGGGGAUAACUGAGGGAAACCUUUAGCUAAUACCGAUAAUACCUACGGGUCAAAGGAGCAAUUCGUUUGGGAGGGGGUCGCGGCCGAUUAGUUAGUUGGCGGGGUAAUGGCCCACCAAGACAGUGAUCGGUAUCCGGCCUGAGAGGGCGCACGGACACACUGGAACUGAAACACGGUCCAGACUCCUACGGGAGGCAGCAGUGGGGAAUUUUGCGCAAUGGGGGAAACCCUGACGCAGCAACGCCGCGUGGAGGAUGAAGUACUUCGGUACGUAAACUCCUUUCGAUCGGGACGAUAAUGACGGUACCGGAAGAAGAAGCCCCGGCUAACUUCGUGCCAGCAGCCGCGGUAAUACGAGGGGGGCAAGCGUUGUUCGGAAUUAUUGGGCGUAAAGGGUGCGUAGGCGGUUUGGUAAGUCUUUUGUGAAAUCUAUGGGCUCAACUCAUAGACUGCAAGGGAAACUGCCGGGCUUGAGUAUGGGAGAGGUGAGUGGAAUUUCCGGUGUAGCGGUGAAAUGCGUAGAUAUCGGAAGGAACACCUGUG